rnacentral:rRNA from 1 species
GAUGAACGCUGGCGGCGUGCCUAAUACAUGCAAGUCGAGCGAACGGACGAGAAGCUUGCUUCUCUGAUGUUAGCGGCGGACGGGUGAGUAACACGUGGAUAACCUACCUAUAAGACUGGGAUAACUUCGGGAAACCGGAGCUAAUACCGGAUAAUAUUUUGAACCGCAUGGUUCAAAAGUGAAAGACGGUCUUGCUGUCACUUAUAGAUGGAUCCGCGCUGCAUUAGCUAGUUGGUAAGGUAACGGCUUACCAAGGCAACGAUGCAUAGGCGACCUGAGAGGGUGAUCGGCCACACUGGAACUGAGACACGGUCCAGACUCCUACGGGAGGCAGCAGUAGGGAAUCUUCCGCAAUGGGCGAAAGCCUGACGGAGCAACGCCGCGUGAGUGAUGAAGGUCUUCGGAUCGUAAAACUCUGUUAUUAGGGAAGAACAUAUGUGUAAGUAACUGUGCACAUCUUGACGGUACCUAAUCAGAAAGCCACGGCUAACUACGUG